rnacentral:tRNA from 1 species
GGGGGUAUAGCUCAGUAGUAGAGCACGUGCUUGGUGUGCACGAGGUCCUGGGUUUAAUCCCCAGUGCUUCGA